UAUAUAAGUUUUCCCCUGACAUAAAGUCUAGUCAUGUCUGACUCUGCGGGUUAAUGCUCAUCUCCAUUUCUAAGCCGAAGAGCCAGCGUUGUCUGUAGACACCCCCAAGGUCAUGUGGCUGGCAUGACUGCAUGGAGCGCUGUUACCUUCCCGCCAGAGUGGUACCUAUUGAUCUACUCAUAUUUGCACGUUUUUGAACUGCUAGGUUCGCAGAAGCUGGGGCUAACAGUGGGAGAUCACCUCGCUCUCUAGAUUCGAACCACCGACCUUUCGGUCAGCAAGUUCAGCAGCUCAGCAGUUUAAUCUGCUGCUCACAGUUACACUUAAAAAUGUUUCUGCUAGGACUUAUAUACAAAUUCAAUUUAAGAAGAAACCUACAGAACCUAACUUGGGGACUGCCAGUGCUAUUAUCUUUUCUUUAAUCUAAACUUGUGUUAAUUUAGCUUGCCCCCUUAUCAAUGUGACAUCCUUUCAAAUAUUUAAACCUGAUUGUCAUGUCCCUUCUGUUAUGGUUUAUAAUGACACUGCAAUGUAUGUGUUUACUGAGUAACUACAAGUAAGAAGCCAAUUGGCUGAACCUGCAAAGAGCUGGGAAUUUGAUUGGAUACUUUUUCUGUCAUGCUGCUGGAGAACCGGUUUGAGCAGGUUUACCUCAGAGAGAGAGAGUGUGUAAGCUGACUGAGAUACAGCCUGGAGACAAGAUGGCUGCCUGCUCUCUGGGGCGUUGAUAUUUCUGAGGCAAUGAUGCAGAUUUAUGGACUUUAAAAGGACUUUAUGACUACUGAUCUCUGUAAGUAGUCAGAGGGACUAUUUCACAAAAGUUCUCAAGUAGUUUGCGGGCAUGAUUUAGACUCUCAGCUAGUGCCUGGAGUUGGCAAAGGACUCAAUCAUCCAGAUAAUAGAGCAGGUGGGAUACUGUUGCCAGAUGCACCACAUUGUUUAUUAUUGUUUUAAUAUGUAUUUCUAUUAUGUAGUACUGUUACUGUAUUGUUAGUGUCUAAAGGUGCAUGUCAUAUCCACAUUGCAUGUUUGUUGUCCAUGUUUUCCCCUUCUUUUAUGUAUUUCUCCUGUAAAUAAUAAAAAGUUAUACAUUAUGGAUA